rnacentral:rRNA from 1 species
GAUGAACGCUGGCGGCGUGCCUAAUACAUGCAAGUCGAGCGAACGGACGAGAAGCUUGCUUCUCUGAUGUUAGNNCGGCGGACGGGUGAGUAACACGUGGAUAACCUACCUAUAAGACUGGGAUAACUUCGGGAAACCGGAGCUAAUACCGGAUAAUAUUUUGAACCGCAUGGUUCAAAAGUGAAAGACGGUCUUGCUGUCACUUAUAGAUGGAUCCGCGCUGCAUUAGCUAGUUGGUAAGGUAACGGCUUACCAAGGCAACGAUGCAUAGCCGACCUGAGAGGGUGAUCGGCCACACUGGAACUGAGACACGGUCCAGACUCCUACGGGAGGCAGCAGUAGGGAAUCUUCCGCAAUGGGCGAAAGCCUGACGGAGCAACGCCGCGUGAGUGAUGGAGGUCUUCGGAUCGUAAAACUCUGUUAUUAGGGAAGAACAUAUGUGUAAGUAACUGUGCACAUCUUGACGGUACCUAAUCAGAAAGCCACGGCUAACUACGUGCCAGCAGCCGCGGUAAUACGUAGGUGGCAAGCGUUAGCCGGAAUUAUUGGGCGUAAAGCGCGCGUAGGCGGUUUUUUAAGUCUGAUGUGAAAGCCCACGGCUCAACCGUGGAGGGUCAUUGGAAACUGGAAAACUUGAGUGCAGAAGAGGAAAGUGGAAUUCCAUGUGUAGCGGUGAAAUGCGCAGAGAUAUGGAGGAACACCAGUGGCGAAGGCGACUUUCUGGUCUGUAACUGACGCUGAUGUGCGAAAGCGUGGGGAUCAAACAGGAUUAGAUACCCUGGUAGUCCACGCCGUAAACGAUGAGUGCUAAGUGUUAGGGGGUUUCCGCCCCUUAGUGCUGCAGCUAACGCAUUAAGCACUCCGCCUGGGGAGUACGACCGCGAGGUUGAAACUCAAAGGAAUUGACGGGGACCCGCACAAGCGGUGGAGCAUGUGGUUUAAUUCGAAGCAACGCGAAGAACCUUACCAAAUCUUGACAUCCUUUGACAACUCUAGAGAUAGAGCUUUCCCCUUCGGGGGACAAAGUGACAGGUGGUGCAUGGUUGUCGUCAGCUCGUGUCGUGAGAUGUUGGGUUAAGUCCCGCAACGAGCGCAACCCUUAAGCUUAGUUGCCAUCAUUAAGUUGGGCACUCUAAGUUGAUUGCCGGUGACAAACCGGAGGAAGGUGGGGAUGACGUCAAAUCAUCAUGCCCCUUAUGAUUUGGGCUACACACGUGCUACAAUGGACAAUACAAAGGGCAGCGAAACCGCGAGGUCAAGCAAAUCCCAUAAAGUUGUUCUCAGUUCGGAUUGUAGUCUGCAACUCGACUACAUGAAGCUGGAAUCGCUAGUAAUCGUAGAUCAGCAUGCUACGGUGAAUACGUUCCCGGGUCU